GGAGUCUGGACCGUCUCUCAGUUCCAAUGUGGCCGAUCACCCUCUCAGGUCGGCUACCGAUCGUCGCCUUGGUGGGCCGUUACCUCACCAACCAGCUAAUCGGACGCGAGCUCACCCCAAACCGAAUCGCUCCUUUUACCCCAAGACGAUGCCGCCUCGUGGUCUUAUGCGGUAUUAGCACCUGUUUCCAAGUGUUAUCCCCCUGUCUGGGACAGAUUGCUCACGCGUUACUCACCCGUCCGCCGCUAGAACAUGAUUCUUUCUGCCGAAGCUUAUUCCCUCAUGUCCCCGCUCGACUUGCAUGUGUUAAGCACGCCGCCAGCGUUCGUCCUGAGCCAUAAUCAAACUCU
rnacentral:rRNA from 1 species